UCAGAUAUAUCAAUUUUCUCUCACAAAAACCUUUUUCAAAUAUAUCUAUUCUCUAUCACACACAAAAUGCUAUGCUCAAAUUCCAUCGAAUCCAUCAAAUUUCGUUGAAUUUCAUUGCCCAAAAUACUCAAAUUUCAUCUCACAGUAGCUCAGUUCGCAAUGGAUUAGAAGAAAUAUGAAGUAUAUAUAUACACACACAAAGAAAUGAAGGAUUUAGGGUUUAAGAUUUGACCCUUUUGUUGUUACUUCUUCAAAUUCUCUUUACCUAUCAUUAUUAUAUAUGUCUUGCAUUUAAAUUCUUGAAAAGGGGUUUUCAUUGUCGUUGAUAUUGGUGAUUUUGUUGUUCUUUUUAGUUGUGGUGGUGUUACAAAGUGAGGCUGUGAUGAUUGAGGUCUGUAGAGUUCAUGGGUAACGGAGCUAUGCUUGUAGCUUGGUGGGGCAACUAGAAGGCUUUAUUUGUAACACAAUCGAGGUUCUGCAGCCAUGUUUAAAAUGUUGUCAUUGUUCUCAUGGAGAUUUAUUGAAUUUAUAUCAAAUGUGUUGAUUAAAAUGAGUAAGAUGUGGACAGUAGAGACUAGUGUGCAAAAGACGGUCCUUUCUUAUGUUCUUAAAAGUUAUGGUUGUAAAGUUGAUGCUUUACUAUCCAAUCAUAUAGGGAGGGGAUUGUUCUUUAAUUGGAGGUGUAAAGCUCAAAUUUUUUCCUCAAUGGUAGUACAUUUUGUUCAUUUUGCAUGCUCGGUAGUUUCCAUACAUAGCUUUCUUAGUUGGAGUACUGUUUAAUAUGAGAAUUUAGUGUUGCUGUGAAAUUUUGAAAGUGAUUCUUUGUUUGAAAUGAGCUUGUCUUUCUUGUGGGGCUUUAUUGAAUAUAUAUUGAAGAUUUUGAUCAUAAAAUGACUGAGAUAUAGAAAGUAACGACUAGUGUAGAAUAGGGAAGAGACUCAUUUCUCGCGUCUUGAAAAUUAUAAUUGUAAAUUUGGUGCUUUACUGUCCAAUUGUACGGGAGGAUGAGCUUUUUUUCUAUUACUAUUUUGUAGAAUUAAUGGUUAGUGGUAUCUAUGGAUUGAAAUCUUAAUCAAUCAAAUCUAUGCGUACUUUGCUUUUUUCAUGACUUAUAAGGUAGUUUUUAAAUUUCUCAAUAUUGAGUUAUCUGGCUCAUCCAAAGAAAUUCAUUAUAACUUCAUCUCCAAUUAUAGAUUUCAAAUGAUGUUAUCCUUACUCCUCAUGUUUUUGAUUUUUAGAGGCAAUUGAACUAGAAUAAUGAACUGGAGGUUUCUCACAUAGUUUAAUGUUCAUAAUUUCUUCUGAUUUGUUGUCCCCUCUCAUUUCCAUACAUUUUAUGUUGAAUAUACUGUUUACCUAAGGUUCAUGUUGGUCAUAUUAUAUUGGGUUAGGGUUUCCUUCAAGAAGGUGAUUUUAUACCAAAGAAAAAGAAAGAAAAGUCAUCCUGGAAUUUGGCAAUGAUUUUGUAUCUAUUAGACUUUGGAAUUUUCUAUGUUCCAUGUGAUUGUGAUUGUUACACAGUGAUCAAGUGCACCUAAACUCCAAACUGGGUUGGCUAUAUGCAUCAUUAUAAGUUGUAUAGAGCAUUUAUUGAGGUUAAGCUAUUUAUACGUCAACUGUCGACCAUGCUAUCCUCUUUCUCUAUUGGGUUCAGGACUGGCUAUUAUUCGCAAAGCUCAAUAGAAAGAGUUGAUUGUACCAUGGUAUUAAAUUAAAUCUUGGGACUAACCUUCUUUCCUUUACAAAAAGGGAUAAAAGGCAUAGAAUUUUUAGUUUAUUUCACAUGCGUAUUGGAUUAUUGUAGGCAAAGAGGCAUAUUAAUGCCUGGUUUGUCGGUAAGUAGAUAGCAGGAACAUUCAACAGUCUUAGUGCUUAUAUACCCACAUAGAUGGAAAGAGAUAUUUAUACCUCGGAUUAGAGAGCCAGAGGUUUUUGCUUCGAGUCUAUUACUUACUUGAGUAUAAGAUGCUAUCUGCACUCUGUACUCACUGAACAUCAAAUUAGCUGUCCAAAAUACUUUUGAAAUACUAGCUCGAUUAUUUUUGUGUUCUGUUCUUUUGUUUGUUGGAUUUAUAGGGAAAUAAGAAGUUGACUGUGCAACUCUUGUGAUUUUCUUAGGCACUAGUAACACUAUAAAAGUUAGCAUGCAUCGAAAGCUCCAUAUAUAAUUAGACUGCAACUCCAGGAUGAAUGAAGAAUUAAGAGAAUGGAACAGAAAUUGCUUGAAGCUUCUCUGAUCAGCUGUUGUCCCUGGAGAUUCGACGGAGCUAUGCCAGAGACCUGUGUGCUUCGUAAAGCUUGCCAGGAUUUUGUUAUUUGAAUAUAGUGUUAUUGGUCAAGGAGAGACAAAAAUAAUUGAUUAAGGUGACUUCCAAACCCCCAUGCCCUCUUUUCUAUACUAUUAUUAGCUACCGUUACUAAUUCUUGAUGAUACAUUUAUUUUGAUGGACGAAAGACAAGAGUUUUAUAUAUGUGACACUCUUUUAUUUUAUCUGUUUCUAAAUAGAAUGGCAUGAUAUGAUAUAUUUGGAAAUCUUUAUUAGUCUAUUCUAAAAAGAAUGACAAGUCGUAGAAAUGCCAUGACAUGUUAAUUUAAAUUUACAAGUUCUAAAAGUUAAAAGUCUUGAUCGAUCUUGACUCUUUCUUGGACUCUUCUGUCCUUAGGAGAUAAUAUGAAUUGUAUAGGAAAUUUAAUUUUAAAGAUUAUAGAUUAUGAUGUGGUGGA
rnacentral:lncRNA from 1 species